GCGAGAGUGGCGGAAUUGGCAGACGCGCUGGACUUAGGAUCCAGUGGCUUCGGCCGUGCGGGUUCGACUCCCGCCUCUCGCACCA
rnacentral:tRNA from 1 species